rnacentral:RNase_P_RNA from 1 species
GUGGACAGACGAUCGCCGCUGCGGCUCUGCCGUUGGUGGAGGAAAGUCCGAACACGACAGGACACGGUGGUGGGUAACGCCCACCGGCUCAUGGUCGCGGGGUCAGGGAAAGUGCCACAGAAAACAUACCGCCCGCUUCGGCGGGUAAGGGUGAAAUGGUGCGGUAAGAGCGCACCGCCCGGCUGGUGACAGUCGGGGCACGGCAAACCCCACCGCGUGCAAGCGCAAGCAGUCCUCCACCGGAAGUUCGCUUUCGGGAACCAUGGUCCGUGGCAUGAGGACGGGUAGCGUGCUCGAGGUCGCCGGCAACGGCGGCCCUAGACGAAUGAUCGUCGCCCGCUGCAGGCGGGAACAGAAUUCGGCUUAUGUCCACACAC